UACGUAGGGUCCGAGCGUUGUCCGGAAUUACUGGGCGUAAAGAGCUCGUAGGUGGUUUGUCGCGUUGUUCGUGAAAACUCACAGCUCAACUGUGGGCGUGCGGGCGAUACGGGCAGACGUAGAGUACUGCAGGGGAGACUGGAAUUCCUGGUGUAGCGGUGAAAUGCGCAGAUAUCAGGAGGAACACCGAUGGCGAAGGCAGGUCUCUGGGCAUUAACUGACGCUGAGGAGCGAAAGCGUGGGGAGCGAACAGG
rnacentral:rRNA from 1 species